CCUGAGUACGACGGAGCACGUGAAAUUCCGUCGGAAUCUGGGAGGACCAUCUCCUAAGGCUAAAUACUCUCUAGUGACCGAUAGUGAACCAGUACCGUGAGGGAAAGGUGAAAAGUACCCCGGAAGGGGAGUGAAAGAGAACUUGAAACCGUGUGCUUACAAGUAGUCAGAGCCCGUUAAUGGGUGAUGGCGUGCCUUUUGUAGAAUGAACCGGCGAGUUACGAUCUGAUGCAAGGUUAAGCAGAAAAUGUGGAGCCGUAGCGAAAGCGAGUCUGAAUAGGGCGAAUGAGUAUUUGGUCGUAGACCCGAAACCAGGUGAUCUACCCUUGGUCAGGUUGAAGUUCAGGUAACACUGAAUGGAGGACCGAACCGACUUACGUUGAAAAGUGAGCGGAUGAACUGAGGGUAGCGGAGAAAUUCCAAUCGAACUUGGAGAUAGCUGGUUCUCUCCGAAAUAGCUUUAGGGCUAGCCUCAAGUGAUGAUUAUUGGAGGUAGAGCACUGUUUGGACGAGGGGCCCCUCUCGGGUUACCGAAUUCAGACA
rnacentral:rRNA from 1 species